rnacentral:rRNA from 1 species
GUACGCUAUUCAGAGUUUGAUCCUGGCUCAGGAUGAACGCUAGCGGCAGGCCUAAUACAUGCAAGUCGGACGGUAAAUGGCCCUUCGGGGCUAUGAGAGUGGCGCACGGGUGCGUAACGCGUAUGCAACCUACCCAAUGCUGGAGGAUAGCCCGGAGAAAUUCGGAUUAACCCUUCAUGAGGAGCAGCUGGGGCAUCCCAGUUGUUUCAAAUAUUCAUAGGCGUUGGAUGGGCAUGCGUGCUAUUAGAUAGUUGGCGGGGUAACGGCCCACCAAGUCGACGAUAGCUAGGGGAUCUGAGAGGACGGUCCCCCACACUGGUACUGAGACACGGACCAG